UGAGUAACGCGUGGGAAACGUACCCUUUGGUUCGGGAUAACCCAGGGAAACUUGGGCUAAUACCGGAUGAGAGCCGGAAACGGGAAAGGUUUACUGCCGAAGGAUCGGCCCGCGUCGGAUUAGCUAGUUGGUGGGGUAAAGGCCUACCAAGGCGACGAUCCGUAGCUGGUCUGAGAGGAUGAUCAGCCACACUGGGACUGAGACACGGCCCAGACUCCCAUACGGGAGGCAGCAGUGGGGAAUAUUGGACAAUGGGCGCAAGCCUGAUCCAGCCAUGCCGCGUGGGUGAAGAAGGCCUUAGGGUUGUAAAGCCCUUUCAGCGGGGACGAUAAUGACGGUACCCGCAGAAGAAGCUCCGGCUAACUUCGUGCCAGCCGCCGCGG
rnacentral:rRNA from 1 species